AAAUGAGCAUCCCAUGACAUUGUGCCUGUUCUCCAGGACUGUACAUAAUCUGUCAAAUGUUAUUUUGUGAGCACGCUUCUCAGAAAGAUCUGCAAGGCAGAUUGACUGACUGCACAUCUCUGAAGUAUGAACAACUCAGUAAACUUUCUCCUAUGGACAGAAGUGGAAGGAGAAAAGCAGAAAAGUAGGACACAGCACGAGACAGUUGCUAACAGAGAGAGCUGAUGCUGGAGGGUGAGAAGAAAGAAAAAAGGAAAACAGAAAAGUAUCAGAAGCACAGGACAGAGGAUAUGUGUUAGAAAUAGUAAAAUCAUGGAUAAAAAUUUAAACUAUAUCUGAAUACUCUUAAGAAGCUGGAAGAUGAUCUCAUGAUGAUUUCUAUUGAAAAUAAUUUAUAUAAUCAAUCACUUGCAAACUUCUACUAUUUAGAAAAUGUAUACUUUUCUUUAAUAAUGAAAG
rnacentral:lncRNA from 1 species